UUUACUCCUAUAUUCCUUCACACGCUUUCUCCAAAAGUCUUCAUCUCUCUUCAAUCAAUUCAACCUAAAAUUACUGAGAUCCUUUCCUUCUUCAUUUGAAUUUCAACUAAAGAACCCUAACUUAUCUCUGCUCUGCAGUCUUCUACAUUUUCGACUUCGUGUAUGGCGAUUUCAUCUACCUAUUUCAUCUUCUCAGCCAUUCCAUUGAGAAACCCUAAUUUCAGUUUCAUCUCUAACUCUUGAUUAUGUUCCUACGAAACCCUAACCAUAGGCACCAUCACGCUGCUGACAAAGAACUUGAACACUACGACUUUCAUGGGUGGUGAUUUCUAGAUUUAGGAUGACGGUUCAUUUUUUGGCUUUUGCCAAUCGUCUCUCGAAUGACAGUUCUGUUGGCAAGAGAGAAUGAAGGUUUUUGGGUUUCUAUUGAACUUGAGGGUUGUUUGUUUUCGAUGAUGCAAUCAAUUUUGGAUUUAUAUGUUGUUCACACCAUUGCAAGGUCAAGAAUUUUCAUCGGAUGGAUUUGUUGUUAAAAGCUCAAUGGGUAGAACAAGCAGAGCAAUAUUUCAACAGCCUUCCAGAUGAUGUCAAUAAGCUCCAAGUUUACAGUGCUCUUUUGAAUUGUUAUGCAGCCACAAAAUCAGUAGAAAAAGCCGAAGCUACUGCAGAGAAAAUGAAGCAAUCACCUCCUUCAACUAGACCAUGGAUUCUCAUCUUCAUCUUCAAGUGUGAAAUCAUGGGGAACUUGCUUUGUUUGGUUCAAGUAGAUCAAUCUACUGAUGCUAUAGAGGAAAAUUUUGGGAAGUUUGAUGAUGUUCUUGAGCCGGGCUGCAUUACGUGCCGUGGAUAUUUGAAAGUCGGCUUGCUAGACAUCUUACUCUUAGGUUUCAGCAGUUGGAUGUCAAGUGUGAGACCAAAACAAAGAUAUACUUGAGUGUCGAGCGGAAGCGAUUGCUGAACAAGUAUAAAAUUGAGAUCUCUGUUGAGGAGUAACUUCUACAUCAUUGCCUAUACCGUUGGGGUUUUUGUAGAUUGGUACCAGGUCCCUCAUUCGCCAUGCUCAUGAUGGUUACAAUGUUUGCAUCUUUGCAUAUGGUCCAACUGGAUUUAAUAAAAACGCAUACAAUGGAAAUCAUUCUUUAAGCAAUAAUGUCGAGACUCUAUAUUUUUGCUUACAAACUCUGAUAGGGAAGAUUGUAUUGAAGACAUUUCACAAAUCAUAAAGUCCUACCUUAAGUUAGAACCCCAGCUAUUGCUACAAUCUCUUACACUAUGUGCUCAGCUGAUCAAGCUCUCUUCCAAUGUGUAAUAUAACUAUUCUCCUGCUCUAACCCUUUGCAUCAGGACCAUACAAUGGCAUCUAAAAGAAUCUUGAUAUAAAGGGACAUUGAUUCGCGAGUGAUAGUGGUUAUAUAUGUGUAUGUAGCAGUUUUUAAACGGAGGGACUCAGACUAAAAAGAGUUAUGAUCUAAGCUUAAGGGGUGUUGUGAAAUGCAGCUAUAAGGCAACAUGGGGAAAAGUCACUUCCUCCCAUUUAUAUGAAGAAUUCUAUGAUUUAUGGAUCGUUAGUGUCAUCUUCAUCUCUUAGGUCAAGUACUGUUCAGAGAAUAACAAGCGGCUUAUUCACUUUUCCACUUGUGAAGUAUAUGGGAAAACCAUCGGUAGCUUUCUUCCCCAAGACAGCCCUCUACGACAGGAUCCUGCGUACUAUAUUCUCAAAGAAGACACAUCCCCUUGCAUUUUUGGCUCAAUCGAGAAACAACGAUGGUCUUAUGCAUGUGCAAAACAGUUAAUUGAGAGGUUCAUCUAUGCCGAGGGUGCUGAGAAUGGUUUUGAGAAUGCUUUUAUCGGUAAUUUUAAUAUCAUGCAGUACUUAUAUAUAUGCAUAUAUAAAACGUAAAACAUCUAUCUCUUAUACUAAAGCAAAAUAUUGUUGACUUUUUGACCUUUGAUGUGGCAAUGCUCUUUGGCCAGAUAGUUUUUUUUUUGGGCGGCAUUUUCCUUUCUCUCAUUUCUUAUUCAAUUUCACGAGCGCCUAAUUCUCAGUCAAUAGCUCUUUCCCUCAUUCUCUCUUCUUUCCAAAAUCACUUCAAAGAAACCCUAAAACCAUUUGUCUGUCGUUCAAGCAACAAGGUCAGUUUUCUUUUGUCUUUUGGUUUACAUGAUUCUCCUAUCUUAAUGCUUUCAUUAUAUUUAAUUUUGUAAAAGAGAAACAAGAAAGAGAUGGGGCAGAUGAGAGACGCAGACGGGAGAUGGUCAUCUUCUCCAAUGACUGGUGUCAGCGAUAGGGCUUUCUUAGUAGCCAGCGACGGCGGUGGUUCCAAAGUGGUUGUUGUUGUUGUCAUCGGUGGUCAGCAAAGGGUGAGAUCUGUCUUCCAACGGCUAGGGUUCCGCCAUGAAUCACUGGCGGCAACGAACAUUGAUUAUUGACAUAGUCCAGUCGAUAUCAAUUUCAUGCUCUGUGACUCUGAGUUUCCAAUUGAAGGAACAAAAUGGCACUUUAGUUCCAAGAAGCUUGAAGAGAUAUUAGCAAAACUGAUUCACUGGUGGUGAGAAUUCGAAGUUUAAUCAUCUAAACAAGAUCCAUUCCUGCAGUAGCCAGUGAAGUUAUUGGCAAACUACCAAAGGAAAAAAUGGUGGAUGGAGAUCAACUGAAACUGGACAUAUAAUUGUUACUACAGUUGGAGGUAGAAAUGGUCCCGAAGACGGUAUUCUACAAUCUCUUUUAAAGGAACCACUAAGUUUGUUGAUGAAUCUACUUUGGAAAUCAGUUGGAGGUAGAAAUGGUCCCGAAGACGGUAUUCUACGUCAUACGAUCCAAUGAAGCUUGCGCUAUGUAUGAGAAGCUGCAGUCUCACCCAAAUGUGGGCAUGAGCAAUAAAGCGUGGCAGUUUGUGUUCAGCUUCCAAAUGUCUUCAAAGUUUUUUUUUUAUUAUUAUAAGUUUAUUACAAAUUCAGCUAAAUGAUGUUUACAAAUGUCUUCUUAAAUUGAAAUGGGAUGGUAACUUACUGUAUAUUAGGCAACUUAUAUGUAUAUUUUAGAAAUCUAAUUUUAAGUUGAUACACCAUGAGUUUUCAUAUAUUCAAGCGCAAAAUAUAGUGGUAUGUUGUGAUUUAGUUCCGACAUGCUUCAUAAUGCUUUAUGUUACCUUUUCAUUCUA